UACGGAGGGGGCAAGCGUUGUUCGGAAUUAUUGGGCGUAAAGGGCGCGUAGGCGGCCAAUCAAGUCGGGUGUGAAAUCCCUCGGCUCAACCGAGGAACUGCACCCGAUACUGCUUGGCUAGAGUCCGGGAGGGGAUGGCGGAAUUCCCAGUGUAGCGGUGAAAUGCGUAGAUAUUGGGAAGAACACCGGUGGCGAAGGCGGCCAUCUGGACCGGUACUGACGCUGAGGCGCGAAAGCCAGGGGAGCGAAUGGG
rnacentral:rRNA from 1 species